UACGGAGGAUGCGAGCGUUAUCCGGAUUUAUUGGGUUUAAAGGGUGCGUAGGCGGAAUGUCAAGUCAGCGGUCAAAUCGCGGGGCUCAACCUCGCUUCGCCGUUGAAACUGGUGUUCUUGAGUGGGCGAGAAGUAUGCGGAAUGCGUGGUGUAGCGGUGAAAUGCAUAGAUAUCACGCAGAACUCCGAUAGCGAAGGCAGCAUACCGGCGCCCAACUGACGCUGAAGCACGAAAGCGUGGGUAUCGAACAGG
rnacentral:misc_RNA from 1 species